rnacentral:rRNA from 1 species
CUAAUACCGCGUGACGCCACCGGAGGGCAUCCUCCGGUGGCCAAAGGAGCGAUCCGGUGGCGGAUGGGCAUGCGGCGCAUUAGCUAGACGGCGGGGUGACGGCCCACCGUGGCGACGAUGCGUAGGGGUUCUGAGAGGAAGGCCCCCCACACUGGGACUGAGACACGGCCCAGACUCCUACGGGAGGCAGCAGUGAGGAAUAUUGGUCAAUGGGCGGAAGCCUGAACCAGCCAAGUCGCGUGAGGGAUUAAGGCCCUGCGGGUCGUAAACCUCUUUUGCCGGGGAGCAGUGGUCCGGACGCGUCCGGGCCGGGAGAGUACCCGGAGAAAAAGCAUCGGCUAACUCCGUGCCAGCAGCCGCGGUAAUACGGAGGAUGCGAGCGUUAUCCGGAUUUAUUGGGUUUAAAGGGUGCGUAGGCGGGCAUUUAAGCCGGCGGUCAAAUGUCGGGGCUCAACCCCGGCCUGCCGUCGGAACUGGGUGCCUUGAGUGGGCGAGAAGUAUGCGGAAUGCGUGGUGUAGCGGUGAAAUGCAUAGAUAUCACGCAGAACCCCGAUUGCGAAGGCAGCACACCGGCGCCCUACUGACGCUGAGGCACGAAAGUGCGGGUAUCGAACAGGAUUAGAUACCCUGGUAGUCC